rnacentral:rRNA from 1 species
ACCCUUUGUGACAUACCUACAACUGUUGCUUCGGCGGGUAGGGUCUCCGCGACCCUCCCGGCCUCCCGCCUCCGGGCGGGUCGGCGCCCGCCGGAGGAUAACCAAACUCUGAUUUAACGACGUUUCUUCUGAGUGGUACAAGCAAAUAAUCAAAACUUUUAACAACGGAUCUCUUGGUUCUGGCAUCGAUGAAGAACGCAGCGAAAUGCGAUAAGUAAUGUGAAUUGCAGAAUUCAGUGAAUCAUCGAAUCUUUGAACGCACAUUGCGCCCGCCAGCAUUCUGGCGGGCAUGCCUGUUCGAGCGUCAUUUCAACCCUCAAGCUCUGCUUGGUGUUGGGGCCCUACAGCCGAUGUAGGCCCUCAAAGGUAGUGGCGGACCCUCCCGGAGCCUCCUUUGCGUAGUAACUUUACGUCUCGCACUGGGAUCCGGAGGGACUCUUGCCGUAAAACCCCCCAAUUUUCCAAAGGUUGACCUCGGAUCAGGUAGGAAUACCCGCUGAACUUAAGCAUAUCAA